rnacentral:rRNA from 1 species
CCUGAGAAACCCAAAAGAUCGAAUGGGGAGAUUCAUCGUCAGCGAGCUAGGCGCUUGUACGGUUCGUGAUAUCGGGGACUUCGGUCUCCCGGCACGCGUCCGUAUGGUACUUUGCCAAGCUUCGUCGGCGUGCACUUCUCCCCUAGUAGGACGUCGCGACCCGUUGGGUGUCGGUCUACGGCUCGGGCGGAAGCCUGUCAUGUGUUUCGCUUAACCGCGUCACGUGGCAGACCCCUGAUUGUCUGACCAGCGCUCGGCGGUACUCGCACGGUAUCGGGUCGCAGAUAUUCAAACUGCGUCCGGCCCGCCGCAAGCGAGGCCAGUGUUUCCCGGAAGUACGGACCUAGCGCCGUCACCGGGCCUGGCCAGCUGUUGGUCGGCGGUGUCCUGGGACUGACCCUUUAUUAUGAUACCGGUCGGCAACGCUACUGCUUUGGGUACUUUCAGGACCCGUCUUGAAACACGGACCAAGGAGUCUAACAUGUGCGCGAGUCAUUGGGAAAUGAUAAGCCUAAAGGCGCAAUGAAAGUGAAGGUCGGCCUUGCGCCGACCGAGGGAGGAUGAGCCGCGUCACGAUGCGGCUCCGCACUCCCGGGGCGUCUCGUUCUCAUUGCGAGAAGAGGCGCACCCAGAGCGUACACGUUGGGACCCGAAAGAUGGU